rnacentral:misc_RNA from 1 species
AAGUCGUAACAAGGUUUCCGUAGGUGGACCUGCGGAAGGAUCAUUCACAAUGAGUGUUUUAUGGCACUCUUUAAAAAUCCAUAUCCACCUUGUGUGCAAUGUUUGUUGGGAGAGAGGCAACUCUUUCCCUUCACAAAUAUCAACCUAUAUCUUUAACAACAUUCGUCUGAUAACAUAUUAUGAAUAUACUUAAUUCAAAAUAUAA